rnacentral:rRNA from 1 species
GACGAACGCUGGCGGUGUGCUUAACACAUGCAAGUCGAACGGUAAGGCCCUUCGGGGUACACGAGUGGCGAACGGGUGAGUAACACGUGGGUGAUCUGCCCUGCACUUCGGGAUAAGCCUGGGAAACUGGGUCUAAUACCGGAUAGGACCCUGGGAUGCAUGUCCUGGGGUGGAAAGCUUUUGCGGUGUGGGAUGGGCCCGCGGCCUAUCAGCUUGUUGGUGGGGCGAUGGCCUACCAAGGCGACGACGGGUAGCCGGCCUGAGAGGGUGACCGGCCACACUGGGACUGAGAUACGGCCCAGACUCCUACGGGAGGCAGCAGUGGGGAAUAUUGCACAAUGGGCGCAAGCCUGAUGCGGCGACGCCGCGUGAGGGAUGACGGCCUUCGGGUUGUAAACCUCUUUCAGCACCGACGAAGCGCAAGUGACGGUAGGUGCAGAAGAAGGACCGGCCAACUACGUGCCAGCCGCCGCGGUAA